rnacentral:rRNA from 1 species
AUGGAGACGGCGCCGGGUUCGCGCUGCCGCCGGUGCCUGGAGACCCUGUGCGCCGUCCUCCUCCCGCCGCUCGGCGUCUACCUCCGCCACGGCUUCUGCUCCAUGCGGUUCUUGAUCAGCGUGCUGCGCACCAUCAUCGGCUACUACUUUUGCCUUCUCUUCGUUAUUCAAGCCCCCGUCAUGGGUUACGUGCGGAACUGCCUCACCUUCUCCUGUGUCUUGCUCCUCGUCGCAUUCCUCAACUGCCCCAGUAAUGGCGCUAACGACGACGUCGACGACUCCGCCACCGCCGCCUCCUACGUCCUGGUCGCCUGA